rnacentral:rRNA from 1 species
GGUCCGGCGGCAAACGGGUGAUUAACGCGUGGGACCGUACCUUUUGGUUCGAAACAACUGAGGGAACCUUCAGCUAAUACCGGAUAACCCCUUACGGGGAAAAAUUUAUCGCCAAAAGAUCGGCCCGCGUCUGAUUACUUAUUUGGUGAGGUAAGGGCUCACCAAGGCAACAAUCAUUACCUGGUCUGAAAGGAUGAUCACCCACUUUGGGACUGAAACACGGCCCAAACUCCUACGGGAGGCACCAGGGGGGAAUAUUGAACAAGGGGCGCAAGCCUGAUCCACCCUUGCCGCGGGAGUGAUGAAGGCCCUAGGGUUGUAAAGCUCUUUUGGGCGGAAAAAUAAGGACGGUACCGCAAGAAUAACCCCCGGCUAAUUUCGGGCCAGCACCCGCGGUAAUACAAAGGGGGCUAGCGUUGCUCGAAAUCCCUGGGCGUAAAGGGUGCGUAGGCGGGUCUUUAAGUCGGGGGUGAAAUCCUGAAGCUCAACUCCAAAACUGCCUUUGAUACUGAAGAUCUUGAGUUCGGGAGAGGUGAGUGGACCUGCGAUUGUAGAGGUGAAAUUCGUAGAUAUUCGCAGGAACACCAGUGGCGAAGGCGGCUCACUGGCCCGAUACUGACGCUGAGGCACGAAAGGGGUGGGGGAGCAA